CCCUUAGAUGUUCUGGGCCGCACGCGCGCUACACUGAUGCAUUCAACAAGCCUAGCCUUGACCGAGAGGUCCGGGUAAUCUUUGAAACUGCAUCGUGAUGGGGCUAGAUUAUUGCAAUUAUUAAUCUUCACCGAGGAAUGCCUAGUAAGCGUGAUUCAUCAAAUCGCGUUGAUUACGUCCCUGCCCUUUGUACACACCGCCCGUCGCUCCUACCGAUUGAAUGUGUUGGUGAGGAGCUCGGAUUGGCAGCAGUUGGUGGUUCGCCACCGGCUAUUGCUGAGAAGUCCUCCAAACCGCCCCAUUUAGAGGAAGGAGAAGUCGUAACA
rnacentral:rRNA from 1 species